AUGCUCAGCCAGAGGGGUUUCACUAAAGUACAAGUCUCAGAAAUCUGCAGUGCUUUAAACUGUCAUGUGAUAAUGCACCAAGUCAGAAAUUCAGAUAAAGAAAGUAAGCAGAGAGCAAAGCACAUCCGACAAUUGUGGCCAGUCAUCAAGAUCAGGAGCACAGAAAACACUAGGGUCCUCUUCACAUGGGGGAUUUUUUGCCCUGUUUUGCCACUUUUAUACACGGCAAGGACAGGGCCUGCCAUGCGCCAUCAAACACGUUCAUAUUCCUCCCAAAGUGGAAGGAAAGCACCAAAAGACGCUUUCUCCUCCACUAUGAGAAGGAAAGUGUGGCACAAUCUUCUCUUUUUUGCCGUGUAAUGGCAGAAAGGGCAGCUGUUAGGAAUUAUGGGAAUUGAAGUCCAAAACACCUGGAGGGCCAAAGCUUGCCCAUGCCUGGUAUAAGGUGUAUUGAGCUCUUGCAGGGGUCAAGUGCAGGCAGCAAACUACACAUAGCUGGCUUUGCCACUGGUGACCCUUUGACUUUGCUUCUGCUUAUCCAGCUCACUGCCGCAAGAGCAAGACCGCAUCAUGGUCCCAUUAGAGAUGGAUUUGACAGAGUCACCUCUAAACCACAGAGCUACUACAACCUACUCCUCUAAAAUCUGCUUUUGCCUGUGGAUCCUAUUGACUUUAGUUGCAACAAAGAAUCUUCCAGAUUGUUGUUCAGAAUUUAACGUGUAAUUAGAAGUGAAUGUUCCUCUCUAUUUAUCAAUAAUGCAGAUUCAGCCCAGCUCCUCUGCUGUUGGUGCUGCUAUUAUUAUGCAGCACAAUAUGUUCACACUGACAACACAGCUCCAAUUAAUAAUUUAUAGAUGAUCUGAAUGAGUCUGUCACACUGAGCAAUGGCAUUAGUCACAAAGUUUGUAGCUCAGUGUUUGCAGAUGAGUCCAGAUUAAUAAUGAUAUUAAAUUGGGUUCUAUAACUUUAAUAUGUCAUUGAUUCCAUGUGAAGUAGGGCUAAGUUAAGCAUUUCUAUAAAUGUAUUAUGUGCAAGAGAAUUUGCUUUCUUUUCACUUGAAAGUAAGCAGGUGGAGUUCUGGUCUGGACUGAGAUCAGCGGAUUCCUUCCCCCUCCAAAAACAUUAUUUCCAUCUCCCCAGGCAAGGAAUAAAAACAUGCAGAAACCAAUAUUUGGGGGAAAGAGCUGAUUACACUAUGUAACAAAAUUUGAAAAAAAAUCUGUUAUAUCCUGUUUAAUUGUGCAGUACUUUGAAAGCAGUUGUUGGUAUACCCCAGAAACUUCAUUUUUGUGACUGACACAAACUAUGUUAAAUUGAUUGAGACUUUGUAAGAUAUUCAUUGAAAACCUAUUAUUAUUACUAUUAUUUUAUUUCUUACCUGCCUCUCUUCACAGCUCGAGGUGGGUUACAUCAUUGCUAAAGCACAUAAUCAAAACACAUAGUCAUUUAAAAAUGAUAAAAAAAAUGUGUAGAAUGCACAUAUGAAAACAUGUUUCCAUGAAUGCAUAUUAAAAUACACAAAAGUUAGACAUAGAGUGGAAGUUUAAAGUUCAUCAAUAUAGCAAAAUGUGUUAUAUGUGCAUAACAAACAAAGUUUUUGCAGUUUAAUAAACUUUUUCCAUGUUUUUAGGAUAGAACCGAUUAGAGAAUGACAUUUAUAACCCAGGAACAAAAAUCGUGUUACAUAGUGUUACAAAUGUCUCUGGAUUGAGGAUGAUAAGCAUUGUAACUCCUAGAGGGAACCUGGUUUACAUGACUGGUUAAAAAUACUUAAUUUCUCACUUUUAUCUGGAUUUUGUAUACAUGUUUUUUAGAUUUUCGCCUUAUCCUGUAGCAAUCCAACGAGUUUGCACUAGGAUCUAUUAACGGAACUCUGUCAUUUGAAAGAUAGAUAUAAUAACAAUAAUAACAACAAUAAUAACUUUAUUUUCCUAUCCCACCGCCAUCUCCCCGCAGGGACUUGGGGUGGCUAACACAGGGUGAAAGCCCGAAAACAAUAAAACAGAGUAAAACAGAUAAAAACAACAUCUUCAAAUAAGUAAAACACAAUAAAAUCAGAAAAUGCAAUACAAAUGCAAUACAAUAACAGUAAGAAUAGUAUGUAUGUAUGGAUACAAUAUACAGGCAUUAAACAUAUGCAAGCCAUAUAAAUGGUGGGAAUGCCAAUUCACUAUCCAGGCUGCUCUUGUGCAAUCUGAUGUGUUGAAAGCAGCUAGUGAAGCUUUCCACAACAGGGAGAUAAGAAUGACCCUUAAGUUAGUGUUAAAAUACAGGAGCAGGUCUGUUUCUGCCAGUACAUUCAAUGUUAGAAUUUACUGUUAAAACAAUCAUACAAGUGUUUAUUUUUAGCCUUCCUCCCACACACUCUCAUUUAAAGUCUGCAAAGAAGUUCUAUCCAAGCUUGUUAUUCCAUUAUGCAGAUGCAUCUGAAAACCUUGUUUGUUACCUGAAAGCCGUAGUGCACUUUCCAUUUUUCUUUGAACAUAUUCUUUGUUUCUUCAAAUGUACUGUUCUUUCUAGCAUUCCCUUGAUGAAACCUUAUCUGUAAGAACAGAAAUAAAUGAAACACAGAUGCAACCAGUAGGGAGGCUUGUUUACAUUCCACAACAUGACAGUGGGCUGCCUGGAGUGGAUAAUAAGACAUCCAGAAUUCAUUUAAGGCUUCAAACAACUUGAGCUUCAAGAAUCCCAUCCAGUAGCAGGUUUCAGAAGAACAGCCAUGAAAGCUGUUGUACCAAAAAGAACAAAGAGCCUAGGGGAAUUAAACUUUAUAUUGGCAUAAAUCCAGUAGUGUCACCCACUUGGGCCAAUCUUUUUCAUUUCCAUUAACAUCACGCAGAGUGUGGAAAACUUCCCAUUUUGCAUCUAACUCCCAGUACCUUUAGCCCAGUGGUUCUCAACCUGGGGUCCCCAUAUGUUUUUGGCCUACAACUCCCAGAAAUCCCAGCCAGUUUACAAACUGUUAGGAUUUCUGGGAGUUGAAGGUCAAAAAUAUCUGACCCCGAAGUUGAGAACUACUGCUUUAGCCUAUAUGACUAGUGGACAGAUGCUGGUCCAGAAUUCUGGGACAUUUUCUCUAAAAAAAAAAAAAACCCUUUUCCAACGCUGGUGCUAAUACAUUUAAUCUAUCAUUUAAUCAUGGGCUAAUUAUCAUAGGAAGUUUGCUUGUAUAUAAAACACCUGGAGGGCUAAAGUUUGCCCAUACCUGCUCUAAAUUCACUGGGUUGGAGGUGCAGAACACUCCAUUGAAGUAUUCUCUCACGGAAUUUCUAGGUUUUUCACCAUAACCCUAUGGCCAAUUUCUGGCAGGAAUCGACCAUAAAAUUCUAUUGAAGGACUUAGAGAUUCUUAAAGAUAAUGCUAUGUUCAUCAAAUCCUGGUAUGAUCAAAUCCUCAAAAGUGAAACUUACAAGGGCCACUAUAUCUAAUGUGGUUUGCAGUGUCUCCUGAGCCUCUCACGUUUUCCCUUUUCAACAGAUAAACCUGAGCAUAUAUGGGUUCAUUUAAAAUUGUAAAAGUGUGAUCAUAAAAUCUUUUUAACUGGGAAUCCCAGAACUCGAACCUUCGGCCUUUGACAAGUAGUCAGCAGGUGUGCUCUAGAACCCAGAUGUGAUCUCUGCCUGUGGACCCUUUUAUAAACAUUUUCUGGACUUUGAUUUCAGAAGUGUUGGGCACAAAUUACAAGCUUAGAUGCAUAAACACCACUUAUCUUUCAUGUUACAUGUUAAUUACAUGGCAAGAGUUUGGACUUAAUGGUCCUUGUAAUCUCUUCCAACUCUAUGAUUCUA
rnacentral:lncRNA from 1 species